rnacentral:tRNA from 1 species
AGGAACUUAGGAUAAUUCCUCAAACCGAAGGCCUUCAAAGCCUUAAACAAGAGUUAGACCCUCUUAGUUCCUG